CAGUCAUGUUCUGGUGAAGCUGUGGUAACAUUCUGGUCAAAACUAAGGAGACUCCAAGUGAGGAUGCAAAAAGGAGUAUUAACAGAAAAAGAAAGGAAGAUACAUUAAAGAAGACUGUGCAGAUACUUAUGGUUUACAAAUUGAAAGAAGCUCCUUAUUUGUGGGAAUCUGCAAACCAGUUUCUGGAGGGUUCAAGAAAAUGAUGAAAAAGUUUCUCAUAAUUUUUUGACUAGGGGCCCAGCUCAAAAUUUGGGUAAAGGUGUUCUCUGGAUGCUGGAGGAGAAAAAUCACACCAAGUUCUUCAGAUGGGGCCAGGCACUUCAAAAGUGGGAAAAGAAUGAUGAACGUGGAAAAAAGAAAAAUUGUGUCAGGAGAAGAUGUUUGAAAUGGGGGUGGGGGUAGGAAUUUGUGUAAUAUGGAUGAUUGCUAAAAUCUCAGUACAGAGGUGACAGAACACCUGGAAAGAGGAAUGAAGCAGAGACCAACAAGGUGUUUGAAUUGAAUCCUAUAAAGGGGAAGAUGUGAUCUGGUGGUCAACAAAGAAGGUUAACUGGUACUUCCAGAAAGAGAAUAUCAUUAUGAAAUGCAGAGCUGAAACAGUUGCUUUAUAAAAAGAGAAUAGGUAAUGGGGCACAAGGAGCUGGAUGAAAUGCCACUACAGAGAGGUCAUUAUCAGUUCACAUAGCUUGUUGCUAGCACCAUAUGCGCUUUCUUAGUAUAAAAGCAGAGAGAUAGAAAGUCAAUAAUGAAACCAGGUGGGAAAGAAAAAAACAAUUUUGAUUUGUAAAUUCUGAAGAAACAGAAGCAAAAAUCACCUGAAGACCUGAAUGGGAGCUUCAGUGAGGAUCCAUCCUAAAGCAAAAAGAAAUAAGGAAGAGCACCAGGGAGCUGCCAUUUGAAAGAAGAACUAAGCAGAAAAGAAAUAAAAAGCUAUCAGGAUUGUCUCUAGAGCUUCCUAGAAAUCUCAUCCAUUUUAUUAAACUACAAAAUCCCAUGAAACAAAAACAGUCUUGGCUGUUACUAUUUCAUAUUUUUUUUCCUCUCCUUGAUCCCUUCCAAACAAA